AGCAGCCGCGGUAAUUCCAGCUCCAAUAGCGUAUAUUAAAGUUGUUGCAGUUAAAAAGCUCGUAGUUGAAUUUCGGGGUUAGUAGGUUGGUCAUGCCUCUGGUAUGUACUGAUCUCACUGAUUCCUCCUUCCUUAUGAACCGUAAUGCCAUUAAUUUGGUGUUGCGGGGAAUUUGGACUGUUACUUUGAAAAAAUUAGAGUGUUUAAAGCAGGCUAACGCUUGAAUACAUUAGCAUGGAAUAAUGAAAUAGGACGUUCGAUCUUAUUUUGUUGGUUUCUAGGAUUGACGUAAUGAUUAAUAGGGAUAGUUGGGGGGCAUUAGUAUUCAAUUGUCAGAGGUGAAAUUCUUGGAUUUAUUGAAGACUAACUACUGCGAAAGCAUUUGCCAAGGAUGUUUUCAUUAAUCAAGAACGAAAGUUAGGGGAUCGAAGACGAUCAGAUACCGUCGUAGUCUUAACCAUAAACUAUGCCGACUAGGGAUCGGAUGAUGUUAAUUUUUAAUGAACUCAUUCGGCGCCUU
rnacentral:rRNA from 1 species